rnacentral:pre_miRNA from 1 species
GAUAUACUCCCUCCGUUCGGAAUUACUUGUCUCGGAUAUGGAUGUAUUUAAAACUAAAAUACAUCUAGAUACAUCCAUUUCUGCGACAAGUAAUUUCGAACGAAGGGAGUAGUUU